rnacentral:tRNA from 1 species
GAGAGUGUAGCUCAGUGCUAGAGUGCCUGCCUAGCAUGCAUGAGGUCCUGGGUUCAAUCCCCAGUACUUCCA